GGCUUCGUGAUCGAGCGGUAAGGAUACUUGCCUCUCAUCCUGGAGUCCCGUGUUCGAUUCCCGGUCGAGGAGCUA